rnacentral:tRNA from 1 species
GGUGAGAUGGCCGAGUUGGUCUAAGGCGUGAGACUAGGGUUAGCCUGUAAUCUCAUCUCUUCGGGGGCGUGGGUUCAAAUCCCACUCCCAUCA